rnacentral:lncRNA from 10 species
CGGCACCGUCUGGCCCCGCCGGCUGAUUACAGCCAGAGAUCGAGGGGGACCUCGCUGUCCCCCUAGAGGCCGUCAUGCGGGGUUACAGAGGCUGCGACCAAAGUCAUUCCUAGCUCCUCUCUCGGGGCUCCGGAAAGCCGUCCGCGCCUCCAGCCGCACUUUCAGCGCACGCAGGACCUGCCGCGCCCGGUGGCCACACCCGUCCCUCUGCCGGGUGACGCUGCGGGAGAUCUUGCGCCCUGGGGCUCCGGAUCCAGUUCUGGCACGUUGUUGCACCUGUGACUUGUCCUUGGCCUGGCACUGUCCCUCGCCUGGGGGAAGCGGGGGGGUGGGGGGGGGAUGCUCACGUGGUCGCUUUGCUCCCGCAGUCAUGCACUUGGGUGAAAACAGACUGAAGAGUCACGGGAACCAGCUUGUCUCCCCAGUUAUGGCGCAGAGCUGCAAGGAUGGCUGUGGGUCAUUAAUUUCUCCGUGGCUGACCUGUGUUUGUAACGCCGCAGCUGUUGCGAGGGGGAAGGACACUGCUUCGGAUUCAAAUUCUGACUCCUUGCUGCAGUGUGUCACCUUGAGCCAGUCCCAGAUCUCUGCGUUCUCACAAUUGUAAAAUGUUAACAGAGGCUGCCUACCUUGUGGCUGGAAUUAAAUGAAUUAACGUGUGUGAAUGUGACUAGAAUUCAGUACAUGUUCAGGAAAAGCUGAUUUCCGCUUUGCUGUUACCGUGAAUAUUACUGUUUUAGGGUGUAGAAAAGGGUGGAAGGGGAUGUUAUUGCAUCCUGGAAGCUUAUCCUUUUGAGGUAAAGAUUGAUUUCUGGUCCCCUGCGUGGUAUAUAGUGUAGUUUUGACAUUAUUUAGAUGUGUUAUGCACAUUUGGGUGUUGAUUAUAUGGCUUACGAUCAAGACUAACCAGUCAUGCCGUGGGAGAUUAAGGUCGUGGUCUCUUGUCAGGAUUGUAGUGAGAUUUAAAAAUUCCAGCCAGAAAUACCAGGCUUAGAAUGCUCUGAAGCCCUCCCCACAUUUUUGCCAUCUCUAGCAGGAGGGCACUGCAUAGCAGAAACAAAGACGUUGUAAAUUGUUGCUGCCUGAGUCAUUUAUAGAGGCUUAAACAACCUGAAUGUCCUCUGACCUACCUGUAACAUUUGAUGGAGUUGUAUGAGUAACUUACAAAGCUGUAGGUCCCAAGGUCGGUCUGAAAAAGAAAGUUCAUAUCCGGGAGCACUGACCCCGUAGUGUAAUCCUGGCACCUUAAAACGUACUGCUCCCUCCACCUUCACUUCAAGGUUAUGAAAACAUUGAGUAAAAGGGAUGAUCUGUUCAAAGUCCUUAGUGUUCUGCCAAUUUAAAACAGUAAUUUUCAAAGCAGUUAUUUGCAAGGAAAUUGCCUAGAACUUCUCCCAGUGUGCGGUUGUUUUGUGUGUUUGUGUGUGUGUUUUGUUUGUUUGUUUUCAGUCUGUCCACAGGCGUACUUUUAUAGGUCUGUGAUAGUAGGUAGCUCUUCAAGUUGGCAAACACCUGCUGGACAACCCCUGAGAGAUUCAUCUGAGUGAGAGAGCACUCUCCAGCCCCAUCGGAGUGGGUUUGCAGGGAAAUCAUAAGGAAGAAAUCCUUAUCUUUCCAACACUGAGAUGCUUCUGCCGAAGAGUAGAAUGGGAGUGAGGGGACACGCAAAACGGGCUGCUGCCGGAGGAAGAGGAACAGUGUUGUGGCUCAUGCCAUAUGAAUGGGCUCACUGGCCUGGCCCAGACCCUGACUGCCCACAGGAUCUUUGACAGAGAAACGGAGGCACAGAGAAGGAAGCGGCAGUUAAAGCUGCGAAGAACCUAACAAAUUUCAAGAUUGUAAGUGCCUUUUCCCAGGAUGCCAGCAAGUACUGAGCCUGUAUUUUGAGCUGCAUCAAACCCUGUUGGAAUAAAAAAGGACAUUUCUAGGAGAUCAGUCUUCGAGAUUGGCCCCAGUUUCCCCAGAGUAGGAAGAGGCAGGAAGCCAGAGCACAUGUUCUCUCCAGAAAUAAAGUUGUUGCAGUGG